rnacentral:misc_RNA from 1 species
GCAAACUUGGUCAUUUAGAGGAAGUAAAAGUCGUAACAAGGUCUCCGUAGGUGAACCUGCGGAGGGAUCAUCAUUGAAAACAAAUUUGAACAAGAGGAUUGGUUUGAGGGGGGAGGGGGAUAAAAACUCUGCAUUUUGUUUCCCAAGCCUUGAGGACGGCCUCUUGGACAAACAACCAAUCUUCAUGACUAGGAAACAUAGUGAUUUGGGGAGGGGGGAACCAGAAAAAUUCUUGUCUGACAAGUGGCUUUGUGAUUUGGAGCACAAUAACUGAUACAACUUUCAACAACGGAUCUCUUGGCUCUCACAUCGAUGAAGAACGCAGC